rnacentral:lncRNA from 10 species
UCUUAUUCGUAUUUUGUGUUUUGUCCUGAUUGCUGUUAAUAUUUUCCCUUUAUCACCACUUUUUAGGAAUUUAAGUAUGAUGUGCCUUUAUGUGCUUUUUUUGGUGUUUAUGCUGCUCUGGGUUCUUUGGGCUUUGUGGAUCAACAACUUGAGAGGUUUUACCAUAUUUGGACAAGUUUUGGAUUGUUUCUUAAAAUAGUAUUUUGUCUUCCUCCUCCUGUUUUUCCGUGACUCCAAUUACAAAUAUAUUCAACCACUUGAAAUUGUUCCAUUGAGUCUCUGUUUAUUUUUCCCACCCUUUCUUCCUCUCUCUAUUCUUCCUUUUGAGUAGUUUUUAUUGUGUCACUGAUAUUUUUUCUCCAGUUUCUAAUUUGCUAAUAAUUCCAUCCAGUGAUUUUUUUCAUGUUGUAUUUUUCAUACCUAGAAGUUCCAUUUAUUUAUUUAUUUAUUUAUUUUGAAACGAGUCUCAUUCACAGCAAUGACAAAUGAUUAACUGGAUGCAAUAACAUGGGUGAACCUCUCAUCUCCAGAUUACUUAUAAUAUCUAAUGCAAGGUAAAUGUUAUAUAAAUAAUUGUUAUAUUGUAUUGUUUAGGUAAUAAACACACUCUAACACUCGCUCUGUUUUCCCCACAAUCCGCAGCAUGCAGCCUGCUGUGUCCACCUCACAUACGCACUGGACCUUGUCCUCACU